GCCAUUAAUACGCAGAGGGUGAGGAGGGAUUAAUAAUUGUUUUGUAUAUAAUAAAAAACGGAUGAGGUUUAGGUGAGCGUAUGAUUGUUUCCUUUUAUAUUUGGUGUGUUGGGCCUAAUUUAACCGUUUAUCAAAAAAAAAAACUCUUAAGUAUUUAGUUACAUUCUAUUUGGCAUAUGUAUGUUAUAGAAAGAAAAUUGAGGGCAUUCAUUUUGACUAGAGCAAAAUUUAUUUAAACUGAUUUGUUUUCAUUUAUUUUAUUUUUCUAUUUAUGAGUCCAAUUCGAAAAUAGGGUAAAGUAGUAUUGUAUAUCGGAACCAUUUAUGUUUGAAUCUUUAUUUGAUGCUAGUAUAGCUUUAUUAUCGGUAUAUGCUACUAAAGUUGUACGGCAAAUUUUAGGGAAUGUAUAUAAAUAUUACAAAUGAUAGGUGAAAGGCCGCUUCCUUGGUGUAUUAUAGCAUUGAUUUUUAGUGUGAAGGAAGUUAUAAUUAAUAUGAUGACUGUUAAAAAUUUGUCUUUAAGAAAUAAUUUUAGAGUGAGAAAAUAUUGAAUAGUUAGGAAAGAUUUUAGGAUUUUAAGAACGAAGUUUGUGUGAUAUUGAGAAAAGAAC